GUAUCCCCAGCAUUUCCAGUAUUGGUACUCCUUCAAAGUUUAAUAGGAUAUGGCCGAAUAUUUCUUCCCUUGAGGUUUCUAACCCAAAACAAGUUGCUCCCAAAUUAGCUUUGUCAACAGUUUCUUCUGUUCAAGUUGCAAACCACAAGCGAGGUAGGAAUUCUUGGAUUCAUACAGUGAUCCCAUGGUGUUAUGUGUUGUGAGACAUUGCACUGUAUGAAUCUGGAAUAUCUGUGAAGUGUACCCAUCAGCUUAU